UUGAACGCUGGCGGCAUGCUUUACACAUGCAAGUCGAACGGCAGCACGGGGGCAACCCUGGUGGCGAGUGGCGAACGGGUGAGUAACAUAUCGGAACAUGUCCGGAAGUGGGGGAUAACGCACCGAAAGGUGCGCUAAUACCGCAUAUGCCCCGAGGGGGAAAGGGGGGGAUCGCAAGACCUCUCGCUUUCGGAGUGGCCGAUAUCGGAUUAGCUAGAUGGUGAGGUAAAGGCUCACCAUGGCGACGAUCCGUAGCUGGUCUGAGAGGACGACCAGCCACACUGGAACUGAGACACGGUCCAGACUCCUACGGGAGGCAGCAGUGGGGAAUUUUGGACAAUGGGGGCAACCCUGAUCCAGCCAUGCCGCGUGAGUGAAGAAGGCCUUCGGGUUGUAAAGCUCUUUCAGACGGAAAGAAACGGUCGCGGUUAAUAACCGUGGCUAAUGACGGUACCGUAAGAAGAAGCACCGGCUAACUACGU
rnacentral:rRNA from 1 species